AACGAACGCUGGCGGCGCGUCUUAAACAUGCAAGUCGAACGAUCUGUAGCAAUACAGGGAGUGGCGGACGGGUGAGGAACACGUAGGAAUCUACCUAGAAGAGCGGGACAACUUUGGGAAACCGGGGCUAAUACCGCAUAGUACAGAGAUGUUAAAGGGCUAGCAAUAGUCGCUUCUAGAUGAGCCUGCGGUCUAUCAGCUUGUUGGUGAGGUAAUGGCUCACCAAGGCAGCGACGGAUAGCCGGUCUGAGAGGAUGAUCGGCCACACUGGCACUGAGACACGGGCCAGACUCCUACGGGAGGCAGCAGUGGGGAAUUGUUCGCGAAUGGGCGCGAGCCUGACGACGCAACGCCGCGUGGAGGAUGAAGAUCUUCGGGUCGUAAACUCCUUUCGAUCGAGACGAAUGGCCCUUGGGCUAAUACCCUGAGGGAGUGACGGUACCGAG
rnacentral:rRNA from 1 species